rnacentral:rRNA from 1 species
AGGAUAGAGGCCUACCAUGGUGGUAACGGGUAACGGGGUGUUAGGGCACGACACCGGAGAGGGAGCCUGAGAAACGGCUACCACAUCCAAGGAUGGCAGCAGGCGCGCAAAUUACCCAAUCCCGACACGGGGAGGUAGUGACAAUAAAUAACAAUACGGGGUUCUUUAGGAUCUCGUAAUUGGAAUGAGUACAAUUUAAAUCUCUUAACGAGGUACAAUUGGAGGGCAAGUCUGGUGCCAGCAGCCGCGGUAAUUCCAGCUCCAAUAGCGUAUAUUAAAGUUGUUGCAGUUAAAAAGCUCGUAGUUGAAUUUCGGGGUUAGUAGGUUGGUCAUGCCUCUGGUAUGUACUGGUCUCACUGAUUCCUCCUUCCUUAUGAACCGUAAUGCCAUUAAUUUGGUGUUGCGGGGAAUUUGGACUGUUACUUUGAAAAAAUUAGAGUGUUUAAAGCAAGCUAACGCUUGAAUACAUUAGCAUGGAGUAAUGAAAUAGGACGUUCGAUCUUAUUUUGUUGGUUUCUAGGAUUGACGUAAUGAUUAAUAGGGAUAGUUGGGGGCAUUAGUAUUCAAUUGUCAGAGGUGAAAUUCUUGGAUUUAUUGAAGACUAACUACUGCGAAAGCAUUUGCCAAGGAUGUUUUCAUUAAUCAAGAACGAAAGUUAGGGGAUCGAAGACGAUCAGAUACCGUCGUAGUCUUAACCAUAAGCUAUGCCGACUAGGGAUCGGAUGAUGU